UACGUAGGGUGCAAGCGUUGUCCGGAAUUAUUGGGCGUAAAGAGCUCGUAGGCGGUUUGUCGCGUCGGCUGUGAAAACCCGGGGCUCAACCCCGGGCCUGCAUUCGAUACGGGCAGACUAGAGUUCGGUAGGGGAGUCUGGAAUUCCUGGUGUAGCGGUGAAAUGCGCAGAUAUCAGGAGGAACACCGGUGGCGAAGGCGGGUCUCUGGGCCGAUACUGACGCUGAGGAGCGAAAGCGUGGGGAGCGAACAGG
rnacentral:rRNA from 1 species